rnacentral:miRNA from 14 species
GUCCUUGGCCUUCCUAGGUGU